AGCAUGUGCCUCGUCGCCAGGGGCAGGCCGCCACCGUUGUGCUCCUCCUCGCGUGCCCUGCCAUUAUAUAGCUCCUGCCGCUCAUCCCUGACCACCGUUGCGGCAACGACGACGGCGAGGAUGGAUACAAGGCGGCAGCGUCGUCUCCAGUGCAAUCCAGAGCGUGUCGUCCCCGCCGCCGAACCGGCUAGCUUUCCCACGUGACCACUCUAUCUACCGGCCGCCGCCACAUGGACUACACCAGACGCUAGCCCGGGGGCCAGAUCGAUGGCCGCAGGGGCUAGAUCGAUGGACGGCGAGAUCUUCACCCAGCGCGUUCUUCCUCUCCGCCGCCGCAUUGACUACAAAGGCAACUAGCCCGGGGGCCAGAUCGAUGGCCGUAGGGGCUAGAUUGAUGGACGGCGAGAUCUUCACCCAGCCUCCUUCCUCUCCGCCGCGCAGGUGCUGCCGGCGCGCACAGCGGCCAUGAUGCCGAAGGCUGGCGACCUGGUCGAAGAUGAGUAAAGACAGUCCUUGGAUUGCAUGAAGAGAUUCGAGCAUAACAUUCAGUGAUGUCAAGAAGUUUGAUAAAGCUAAGGUUGAACUUGAAGAAAUAGUUCACUCCUACGAGAUCCCAAGGAACCACUUUACCCUACUAAGCUGAGGCAAGAAGCCUACGGUAAAGUUGUCAAAAAAAAAAAA